rnacentral:rRNA from 1 species
AUAUUGCACAAUGGGGGAAACCCUGAUGCAGCGACGCCGCUUGAGCGAAGAAGGCCUACGUGUCGAAAAGUUCUGUCCUAAGGGAAGAAACGGACGGUACCUUAGGAGGAAGCCCCUGCUAACUACGUGCAGGCAGCCGCGGUAAUACGUAGGGGGCGAGCGUUAUCCGGAAUUACUGGGCGUAAAGGGUGCGUAGGCGGCCUUUUAAGUCAGAUGUGGGAGGCUACGGCUUAACCGUAGUUAGCAUUUGAAACUAAAAGGCUUGAGUGCAGGAGAGGAGAGUGGAAUUCCUAGUGUAGCGGUGAAAUGCGUAGAUAUUAGGAGGAACACCAGUGGCGAAGGCGACUCUCUGGACUGCAACUGACGCUGAGGCACGAAAGCGUGGGGAGCGAA